AAAUUACGCACUUCCGCUCUGUCCCGGAAGUCACUUCAUCGCUUCACCAUGGUUCCUCCAGUCGCAGUGUCGCCGCUUAUCAAGACGGCCAGGUGGUCUGCCCUCCUGCUCGGCAUGUUCUAUGGCAAACAGAGGUUUGAUUACCUAAAGCCCAUUGCUGAGGAGGAGAGGAGGAUUGAGGAAGCAGAGAAGAAGAUCAGAGAGGAGCAGGAACGCAUCUACAAACAACUGUCUGAGGCAAAUUCUGACACCAUCCUCAAAUGAAUGAUCUCUGGACCUGUGUCAUUAUGUUCCAAGCUCAAUAAACAAACAUUAUUUUUCAUGUAAUAA